rnacentral:rRNA from 1 species
UACGUAGGGGGCAAGCGUUGUCCGGAAUUAUUGGGCGUAAAGAGCACGUAGGCGGUUAGAUAAGUUGGAUGUGAAAGGCUACGGCUCAACCGUAGAGCGGCAUCCAAAACUGUUUAACUUGAGUGCAGCAGAGGAGAGUGGAAUUCCCGGUGUAGCGGUGGAAUGCGUAGAGAUCGGGAGGAACACCAGUGGCGAAGGCGACUCUCUGGGCUGCAACUGACGCUGAGGUGCGAAAGCGUGGGGAGCGAACAGG